AUUGAACGCUGGCGGCAUGCUUUACACAUGCAAGUCGAACGGUAACAGGCCUUCGGGCGCUGACGAGUGGCGAACGGGUGAGUAAUGCAUCGGAACGUGCCCAGUCGUGGGGGAUAACUAUCCGAAAGGAUAGCUAAUACCGCAUACGAUCUGCGGAUGAAAGCGGGGACCUUCGGGCCUCGCGCGAUUGGAGCGGCCGAUGUCAGAUUAGGUAGUUGGUGGGGUAAAGGCUCACCAAGCCAACGAUCUGUAGCUGGUCUGAGAGGACGACCAGCCACACUGGGACUGAGACACGGCCCAGACUCCUACGGGAGGCAGCAGUGGGGAAUUUUGGACAAUGGGCGCAAGCCUGAUCCAGCAAUGCCGCGUGCAGGAAGAAGGCCUUCGGGUUGUAAACUGCUUUUGUACGGAACGAAACGGCUCUGGUUAAUACCCGGGGCUAAUGACGGUACCGUAAGAAUAAGCACCGGCUAACUACGUGCCAGCAGCCGCGGUAAUAC
rnacentral:rRNA from 1 species